GAUGAACGCUGGCGGCGUGCCUAAUACAUGCAAGUCGAGCGAACGGACGAGAAGCUUGCUUUUCUGAUGUUAGCGGCGGACGGGUGAGUAACACGUGGAUAACCUACCUAUAAGACUGGGAUAACUUCGGGAAACCGGAGCUAAUACCGGAUAAUAUUUUGAACCGCAUGGUUCAAAAGUGAAAGACGGUCUUGCUGUCACUUAUAGAUGGAUCCGCGCUGCAUUAGCUAGUUGGUAAGGUAACGGCUUACCAAGGCAACGAUGCAUAGCCGACCUGAGAGGGUGAUCGGCCACACUGGAACUGAGACACGGUCCAGACUCCUACGGGAGGCAGCAGUAGGGUAUCUUCCGCAAUGGGCGAAAGCCUGACGGAGCAACGCCGCGUGAGUGAUGAAGGUCUUCGGAUCGUAAAACUCUGUUAUUAGGGAAGAACAUAUGUGUAAGUAACUGUGAACAUCUUGACGGUACCUAAUCAGAAAGCCACGGCUAACUACGUG
rnacentral:rRNA from 1 species